rnacentral:rRNA from 1 species
GACGGGGGGGGGCAAGUGUUCUUCGGAAUGACUGGGCGUAAAGGGCACGUAGGCGGUUCGUCGCGUCGGCUGUGAAAACCUGAGGCUCAACCUCAGGCCUGCAGUCGAUACGGGCGGACUUGAGUACUGCAGGGGAGACUGGAAUUCCUGGUGUAGCGGUGAAAUGCGCAGAUAUCAGGAGGAACACCGAUGGCGAAGGCAGGUCUCUGGGCCACUACUGACGCUGAGAAGCGAAAGCAUGGGGAGCGAACAGG